ACUGAAAAGAAAUAUGCAGUGGAAACUACUUUAGUUUUCUAUUCCAGAUCAUCAUGGAAUUUACGUGUGGCCAGACAUGGCUGCAUCUGACUCUACCCAGUAGAAAACAGCCAAUCUUUUCAGACCAGAAAGAACCUUCCAGUCCUACCAUGGAUGAAGAAACAAAAAGACUGGGGGAAAGCAGUAGGAACAAGAUUGUGCCAGUAAUGGAUUUUAUAAGAAGCACCAGAAUAAGUAUAUGAAUGUGCUCGCUGUGAUGACAAGAGGCCUCUGUCUGAACUCUUCACUCCAAUUCUUUCUGCACACUUCGAGAAGGCAAAAGCCCGGAAUUACUGAGCAAAUCCGUAGCAAAACCCGUAAGACUUCCCUUGCACUACCAUUUCUGCUUGUAUGCAAGAGCUCCUAAACAUUCUGUGUCUGAACGGAAGUUUUUAGCUCUACCUCCAUUGGUAGCACCCGACUCCGGAGUGUUGGAAAUAUCCAGCAAGGACCCAAUGGAGAGCGAGUGCUCAGCUGAGGGGCGUUUGCGGGGAGGGAAGGGGGACACGUCUGUUUCCCUGGUCAGUUGUGCAAGAGUCUCCUUCAAACGGCGCCUUUUGCGGUUGCUGUUUGGAGUGUUCAGGGAAAGCAGAGACACGGACUUCUUGAAGUCAGGACUCUCUGACUGCAGUAAGAGAAAACUCAGUUUAGUGCUUUUAUUC